UACGGGGGGGGCAAGCGUUGUUCGGAAUUACUUGGCGUAAAGGGCUCGUAGGCGGCCAACUAAGUCAGACGUGAAAUCCCCAGGCUCAACCUGGGAACUGCGUCUGAUACUGGAUGGCUUGAAUUCGGGAGAGGGAUGCAGAAUUCCAGGUGUAGCGGUGAAAUGCGUAGAUAUCUGGAGGAAUACCGGUGGCGAAGGCGGUUCUCUGGGCCUUACCUGACGCUGAGGAGCGAAAGCGUGGGGAGCGAACAGG
rnacentral:rRNA from 1 species